rnacentral:rRNA from 1 species
AAGCGGAAGGCCGUGUUGCGGUCUUGUGGCGUGUCUGACCCAUUGUUGAUUGCCGUUUAUGUUUGUUGGUUGGUGCAAGUCAAUGAUUUGCAUCUGCACGAAUUUGCAACGGUUGUCGGUAAUGUGUGCGUGUCAAUUUGUGGUGCUUAGGGAUGAUUCGGACGACCAGACAGAUUUGUUUGGCCGUUUGUGAACCCCGCAAGCACUAUUGAUGCGGUGUCGGACAAAACACCGAGCCUUCCGACCCGUCUUGAAACACGGACCAAGGAGGCUGAAGUUGGGGCGAGUCAGAGAGUGGAAAACUCUGUGGCGCAGCGAAAGCGACGACGAGAAACAAUUGUUGCAUCGUCGACCGACCGAGCGUCGAGUCAGAGUCCCAACUGCAGGACCCGAAAGAUGGUGAACUACGCGUGCACAGGGUGAAGCCAGAGGAAACUCUGGUGGAGGCCCGUACUGAUUUUGACGUGCAAAUCAAUCUCGCGAUGUGCGUGUAGGGGCGAUAGACCAAUCGAACCAUCUAGUAGCUGGUUCCCCCCGAAAUAUCCCUCAGGAUAGCCGGGACAGACAUGGCAGUUGCGUCGGGUAGAGACAUGAUUAGAGGCCUCGGCCCGGACUCCGGGUCGACCUAUUCUCAAACUGCCAACCGGCGCGACAGCAGUCUACUUGCGAGGCUGCUGGCGAAAUGCCUCUGUCCUGUGUGGGCCGUUUUUGGUAAGCAGAACUGGCGAUGCGGGAUGAACCGAGAGCCAAGUUAAGGUGCCCAAGGCACGUCGAUAGACACCACAAAAGGAGUCGGUCGAUUAAGACAGCAGGGCGGUGGCCCUGAAAGUAGGAAUCCGCCAAGGAGUGUCUAACAACUCACCUGCCGAAUCGACCGGCCCUGAAAAUGGAUGGCGCUAAAGCGUGCCACCGAUACUUGGCCGUUGGGCAGUGCUCAACGGGUAGGGGGGCGUGGCGGUGGCUGCGAAGGGCCGAGUGCGAACCGGUCUGGAGCCGCCGACAGUGCRGAUCUUGGUGGUAGUAGCGAUGUUAUUUGAGUGAGACGCUCAAAGGCCGAAGUGGAGAAGGGUUCCGCGCGAACAGCAAUUGGGCGCGGGUUAGUCGGUCCUAAGUAGCAACCUAACGGUUUGUUGCAAAAGGGAAUCGGGUCAAUAUUCCCGAACCGGGCAAGGAGAGCGGCUCGCCGCAUGGCGGCAACGCAAGCGAGCUCGAGGACGACAUCCGACGACACGGAGAGAGUUUUCUUUUCUGCAUAACGUGUACACGCCCUCGGAAGCGAGUCAUUCGGAGAAGAGGGAACACACACGGAAGAACAUGGCACGGGCCGUGUCCGUGCACCGUCGGUUGUCCCUUGAAAACUCGAGCAAGCGUUUGAUUUUCUUGCCCGACCGUACCAAAACCGCAUCAGGUCUCCAAGGUGUGUAGCCUCUGGCCCUGGAAGAAUGUGAGUAAGGGAAGUCGGCAAAAUGGAUCCGUAACUUUGGGACAAGGAUUGGCUCCAAGGGUAGGACUAGUGGAUGUAUGUUUUUGUGCACUAACGUGCGCUACAAUUAUGUCAACUGGUUCAUUAUCGACUUGGAACUGUCACUGACCAGGGGAAUCCGACUGUUUAAUUAAAACAAAGCAUUGCGAUGACCGGAAACGGUGUUGACGCAAUGUGAUUUCUGCCCAGUGCUCUGACUGUCAAAGCGUGGAAACACGACCAAGCACGGGUAAACGGCGGGAGUAACUAUGACUCUCUCAAGAUAGCCAAAUGCCUCGUCAUCUAAUUAGUGACGCGCAUGAAUGGAUCAACGAGAUUCCCACUGUCCCUACUCACCAUCCAGCGAAACCACAGCCAAGGAAACGGGCUUGGCUGGACAGCGGGGAAAGAAGACCCUGUUGAGCUUGACUCUAGUUUGGCCUUCGAUGUCGGCUCUUCCUA